rnacentral:piRNA from 1 species
UGUAAAAGGAAAAAGACUCUUAUCUAAUC